rnacentral:lncRNA from 1 species
GUGGACUAAGUUAGAUCGUCCCAUCAUGAGUGAGGCCUAGACCAAAUGGAUUACAUGGGGCUCGAAGAAACAACAAAUAACUUCCAAAUUUAUCAUAAACGUUGAAAUAGGAUGUCAAUGUUGCUUUAUGAAAAUGUCCCGGGCUGUUCAGGUGAAGAAUUACACUAUGAUAUUCAAGUUUUUUCGCAUCUACAGACGAACAUAGAAUGACAUUGUUCUCGGUAUGUCAAUGUCUUUGGUAUUUAGACUUAGGUUCAUCAUCC